rnacentral:rRNA from 1 species
GCGGACGGGUGAGUAACGCGUGGGUAACCUGCCUUAUACUGGGGGAUAACAGCCAGAAAUGGCUGCUAAUACCGCAUAAGCGCACAGGACCGCAUGGUCCGGUGUGAAAAACUCUGGUGGUAUAAGAUGGACCCGCGUUGGAUUAGCUAGUUGGCAGGGCAGCGGCCUACCAAGGCGACGAUCCAUAGCCGGCCUGAGAGGGUGAACGGCCACAUUGGGACUGAGACACGGCCCAGACUCCUACGGGAGGCAGCAGUGGGGAAUAUUGCACAAUGGGGGAAACCCUGAUGCAGCGACGCCGCGUGAAGGAAGAAGUAUCUCGGUAUGUAAACUUCUAUCAGCAGGGAAGAUAAUGACGGUACCUGACUAAGAAGCCCCGGCUAACUACGUGCCAGCAGCCGCGGUAAUACGUAGGGGGCAAGCGUUAUCCGGAUUUACUGGGUGUAAAGGGAGCGUAGACGGCGCAGCAAGUCUGAUGUGAAAGGCAGGGGCUUAACCCCUGGACUGCAUUGGAAACUGUUGAGCUUGAGUGCCGGAGGGGUAAGCGGAUUCCUAGUGUAGCGGUGAAAUGCGUAGAUAUCAGGAGGACACCAGUGGCGAAGGCGGCUUACUGGACGGUAACUGACGUUGAG